CAUGUUCCAGUAAAAAAUAUGAAUACAGGACAAGAAAGUUACUACAUUGGAUACACAAGUCGCACAUUGGAAGAAAGAAUAGUUGAACAUAAAAAAUAUCUCCAGCAAGAUAGGUUGUCCACCGGCCUCGCAGAAGCAUGCUACUCUGCUGACAACAUACCGCUUUGGGAAAAUGCGAUGAUUUUAAAGCACACUGAAAACCGUAGGCAAGGCCUUGUUUGAGAGAUGUUGGAGAUUAAUGGAAGAAAGAUAGAGGAUUUCCUUAAUGACAGGAAUUCUCAAGGGCUACCAGCGGCACGGAGCUUUGCGCUUACCAAC
rnacentral:lncRNA from 1 species